rnacentral:rRNA from 1 species
GAUCAACGUUGGCGGCGCGCUUAACACAUGCAAGUCGAACGAGAAAGUGGAGCAAUCCAUGAGUAAAGUGGCGUACGGGUGAGUAACACGUGGGUAUCCAUUCUUUGGUGGGGAUAACUCUGGGAAACCGGAGCUAAUACCGCAUAAGUCCGAGAGGAGAAAGGUAGAAAAUACGCCGAAGAGGAAGCCCGCGGCUGAUUAGCUAGUUGGUGAGGUAACGG